GGUGGGUUAGCGUUGCUGUUGCUGAGUUGUUGUUCCCGACAUAGUCACCGAGACGUUUAUGAUGGCCCGGGCCAGAAGAUCCAACUGAAGGUUCUGGAAGUCCUGGUCCAUACUUUAAAGUCUAUAGGCUAAUCGUCACUGUGUGGACAUGCUUGUAUCGUCCACACACUCUUGGGAGUCAAAGGAUGAUUUAAUUUUCAUGGGAGUGUGUCGGGACCUCAAAGGCAUUCCUCCCGAGCGGGUUCAUCUGGAUCAUAUCGUCCGCGGUGGAGGAGUCCGGCUGGGUCUCCUCAGCAGCAUGCAGAGGCCUUCUGUCAGCAGCAGGAUUGUGGGUUGGACGUCUGGAUUCACGCAGCUCCUAAUGUGGAAUGACGAGAGAUCUAGAAGGGCCGGGUCCCUGACUCAUGAUCUAUUCAAACAUGUAGAACUCUAUUGUGUUUAUGUCACCAUAGUUGAUCAGGUAGCACUUUACAAUAAGGUUAGACUAAUUGACCAUUCAUUAACAUAAAUUGCAGUUAUGAAACUGUAAUAAGCAUUAUCUAACAGAGUUAACAGUGAACUAAUAGUCUAGUAAUCCUUUACUAAUGGUGUUCAUAACUAAGGUAGGGUUAACCCUAUUAAAUAAUGCAUACAUUAACACCUAAGCCACUAACCCAAAAACCUAUUCUUAUGAUGUAUAAUAAUGCUUUUUACUGCAUUAACUUAAUGUUAAUUAAGUUAGUCAAUGUACCCUUAUCGUAAAUUGUUACCGUUUAUCAGUUCAGUGAUCAACUAUUUUGUACUACCACCAAUUAUUGUUAGUCAUUGUUAUUACCCUGUUUGACUAAUCCAAAGUAUUAUUAUCAUACUUAUUAAGGUUCUCCUUCUGUUUUAAUAAGGACCACCAGGCUGAAUCAAAAGCACUUUUAUUGAAUAUGAACUUGAGGGCCUGUUUCCACCUAGAACGUCCCAACAUACAAACUUUAGCACGGGCGGAAAAAAAGAUAGGAAGACAACUCGAUUAUUUGUAAAAUACAUUUAAUCCCUUUAUAUUUGGGCACACCGAAGAGGAGAGAAGGCUUGUAGGUGCAGUGCCAAUGCAGCGCGCUGAGGUCGCUGUCACCACGCUGUGCAACAUAAGGCGCACCUGGUUCCAUCACUGGCAGUUUACUGAGUCGACCUGGGUCACACUGAGGCAGGACCGUGUGAUGGACUCCUCCGCCUGGACCUCCAACCACACGUUCAGGAGACCAGAGUAUAUCUAUCACCGAGGACAGCUUGGUGACAGUCAGACCUACACUGCAGAGGCACCGUCGCCAUAACCCUCGAAGCGUAUUAGACAAAGUGAUCACAAUAAAAAGGCAUACGUUGUCUUAGCACAAUCUUCAUGGUUUUAAUUAGUAGAAUUGUACAGAUCUGUACAUGUUACAAGACAUAUUUUCGCUUAUCUCACCAUAGCUUUAACUAGUUAGCAAGACACGGCUGUCGUGCGGAGACGAUAACAGAAAUACUUCUGGUUACGCGGAAGGUGUGGAGGAUGCGUGUUAGAUAUUACAGUUUUGUGUGUGUGUGUGUGUGUGUGUGUGUGUGUGUGUGUGUGUGUGUGUGUGUGUGUGUGUGUGUGUGUGUGUGUGUG